rnacentral:misc_RNA from 1 species
GAUGAAGAACGUAGUGAAAUGCGAUAAGUAAUGUGAAUUGCAGAAUUCAGUGAAUCAUCGAAUCUUUGAACGCACAUUGCGCCCCUUGGUAUUCCGAGGGGCAUGCCUGUUCGAGCGUCAUUAUAACCCCUCAAGCUCAGCUUGGUGUUGGGGCCUGCUGCACUGGCAGCCCUUAAAAUCAGUGGCGGCGCCAUCUGGCUCUAAGCGUAGUAAUUCUUCUCGCUAUGGAGUCCUGGUGGAUGCUUGCCAUCAACCCCCAAUUUUUCUAUGGUUGACCUCGGAUCAGGUAGGACUACCCGCUGAACUUAAGCAUAUCAAUAAGCGGAGGA